CCUACGGGAGGCAGCAGUGAGGAAUAUUGGUCAAUGGGCGCGAGCCUGAACCAGCCAAGUAGCGUGAAGGAUGACUGCCCUACGGGUUGUAAACUUCUUUUAUAAAGGAAUAAAGUGAGGCACGUGUGCCUUUUUGUAUGUACUUUAUGAAUAAGGAUCGGCUAACUCCGUGCCAGCAGCCGCGGUAAUACGGAGGAUCCGAGCGUUAUCCGGAUUUAUUGGGUUUAAAGGGAGCGUAGAUGGGUUGUUAAGUCAGUUGUGAAAGUUUGCGGCUCAACCGUAAAAUUGCAAUUGAUACUGGAAGUCUUGAGUACAGUUGAGGUAGGCGGAAUUCGUGGUGUAGCGGUGAAAUGCGUAGAUAUUAGGAGGAACACCAGUGGCGAAGGCGGCUCACUGGACUGUAACUGACGUUGAGGCUCGAAAGCGUGGGGAGCAAACAGGAUUAGAUACCCCUGUAGUC
rnacentral:rRNA from 1 species